AACGCGGGCCGCCGCGUCCUCUCCGAGCGCGGAUCUGAGCACCGCCGCGGCCGGUUCCUCCCCCGCCCCGCCCCCUCCGGAGGGUCCCGCGCGGGUGGCGCCCGGCGGCCGCGGACAGAGGCCCAGCCCCGGUUGCUCUCCCUCCCCUCGAGAUCCAACUCAGAAAUCAUGUUUCAUUCAAGAUAAGGCUCGUGGUUCAGGAGAUUGUGACCUGGCUUGCAUCAUUCCAAGACUUCUAUCAUCUGUUUUCCAAACCCGAGGAGGACCUCGUUUUCUGUGUGAUAGUGCCUCAUGCUUUGCCAGUCACUGGGUCUUUAAGGAAGCUUGCCAGGGGUUCCCGGCUGGGAAGGACAGUUCGAAUUCAUCAUAGACAGUGAGCUGGCACCACAGUUUAAGUGACUCACCAACCUGGUUGCCCACUUCAGCAUGUCAAGAACCACGCUAUCUGAUUGAAAGAACUGUGUUUCAGCAAAGUGUAAUUGGAUUGCACGGCAAGAUCAGCUCAAACUGCUUCUGACCUUGCCUUUCAGUGGCUGUUUUGAGCACAAGAGGAGAAAGGAAAUGGUUCCUGAAUUACAUUUGGUUUUUAAAAAUUAAGACUAAUUAAUAUAUACUUGGUUUUAUGUUCAUUCCUUUGUAGGAACUUAAUGAUUAUUACGAAACAGUCAACAUAGGUCAUAGUAAAAUCAACAUUUAAGAUGAGGUUAAAACAUUCCUCUGAAAUUUUAGUAUUCACUUUUGAAGUGCCAAUUACUAUAUUUCUGUAAUUUCUCAUUUUUUCUUGGCUUAGAGUCAAGAUGAAAAAUGAUAUUUGAAUCAAAGACAUUGUUUUGUUAUAUAGCCACUGCUUUCUAAAAUGCAAAUCUACCCUGCUUCACCAGUGCUUCAUUAUUUGUGCACACACACACAGACACACACACAUACACACAGACACACACACACACAGAGCCAGCACCCAAAUGGCAGAGGAGGUCCUUUCAAGACUUUCAGGGCCUGGAUCAUGUACAUAGCAGAUGAGAAAAUGAAGUAAGAGAUAGAGAGCAAUGACAGUAAAAGUCAGUGAUUUCAGUUUAUAAAAAGUCAUUGUGUAGUACUCAGAUAUUUUUAAAGACAAGUAUUCUUAAAGUAUAGUAUAUUUCUAAAUUAUUAUGAUUCUCAUCCAAUUUCAAGUCACACAUAGGAGCCAUUUUAAAGCAUUUUGUGUUACAACCUAUCAACAAAAACCAACUAAUCGAGCUUUAUAAUGUGCAUAGGUUUACCCCAUGGGGAAUUAAAAUUUUUAUCUGCAAGUAUUUCUAUUGUUGUGAGACUUUAGGACAAGACAACAUUUGGUAUUAACAUAGAAGAAUAUUCCAUGGCUUUUUUUUUAGCUUGGAUGUUCUUUAAAAUGAAGUAUACAUAGUAUUUUUUUUUCUUCCUAGUGUUCCCUUGUUAUAUGUAGAGUAUUUUCAGUUGUUUUUAACAUAUACAUUAUUUUUAUUAAGUCAUUUGGUAAAAGAUAAAAUAUAUAAUAAUGGCCCCUUGCUUUUCUCCUAAUUUAAUUAUUUCAAGUCAAGCAAAACUGGACACUUUUCUUUCAGGAAAAAAAAAUCUUGAACAUGAUUUUGAGGCAAAAAUGAUGACUUACAGCAUCUUCUCUCCGACAGACUAGCAUUUAUGAUGGUUCUUAUUUCAAAGUUGGUUAUUCUCAAAGAAAAGGGGAGAUAUUAGAAUUUCCAAGUAAAUUGCGUUGUUUUAAAAACUCCUUGAAUGCAUUGUUCAUAUUGUUGCCAGCUACUGAGCAAGAAAGGGGAGAAGAAAAAAGAAGCAAAGCAGUAUCUGCUCCAAAUGUCAAAUUUUGCAGUUUGAAAGACUUGUAAGUUCUAAUUGCUUUUUUUUCUUUUUUGGAAAGCAGUAGUAAUUAAUACCAAAGGCAUAGACAAUUUAGGGCCGUAACCUCCCUUCCCACCGCCCCCAACCUUUUUUUUUUUUUUUUUUUUUAAACUUUAACCAUGAUAGGCAUCUCUGCAAGGUAGGUUUUAACAUAUUUUUUUCCUAAUUUUUUUCCCUCCAUUCAGUAAGAGGGAUAAGCUUUUAGAGUACCCAGUCACCGUGGUAACUGCCAAAAAAAUUCUCCUGAAGUUUGAAGAGGUCAGCUAGCAGGGCCAGCAACCCUGGCCUCUGAGCGCGGUCUAGCAUGCCCCAGCCUGCGGUUGGAGUGUCAGGCCAGAUCUGACCCUGGGAGGUGGACCAUUCUGGCUCUGAUAUAAAUUUUUCGAGUCAGUUCAUGGCCUGGACUCUCCAGGUGGCCUCCAAAAUCGAUUUUGACCCCCUGACCCUGUCUCACGGAGGCAUAGCAUCCACCCUAAGUAAGGAUUUAGCCAGGAGUGACAGCUUUCCACUGAGUGUUAUUGGGGACAGUAUAAACAGUUUGGAAAGCAAGUAAGAAGGUGUGAGUGCUAGAAGUCAUUAAGAGCACAUUAAAAAACAAUUUUAAAAAGUAUUUAUCAAAAGAAGUUUAUAAUGUGUGUCUGUUACAGAAUUCCUGUGAUCUGUAGUUUUCCAGCCAGUUUUGAAUAUAAAUAGGUCACAUAUGUUUAUCUUCUUGCAUACUUUAUUACAUAUAUUUAAAUAAGAUAGGCAUGUUUGCUACAAAAGAGGUAUAGCAGGAAUGUAAUAUGCUCAGAAGAGGCAAGCUAGUUAUUAAAACGCAUUCACAGGUGAAGAGUUUCUAAUAUUUUAAAUACUAAAAUUUUGCAUGUAUGUUUUUAAAAUGGAAGAAUAAGGAACUUUAAAAAAAAAAAAACAGCAACCUACAGUCUGGAAUAAAGAUAAACUUGUUGCAUUCAAGGUUUUUACUUUGUAAAACAAGAAGCCAAUGCACUCAUUUGAAUAAAAAUGAGAGAAAAAUAUAGAGAGUUACAUCUUAUAGAGCUAAAGAGGAAUAAAACAAA